rnacentral:rRNA from 1 species
AGCGAACGCUGGCGGCAGGCUUAACACAUGCAAGUCGAACGCCCGUAGCAAUACGGGAGUGGCAGACGGGUGAGUAACGCGUGGGAACAUGCCCUUUGGUUCGGAAUAACUCAGGGAAACUUGAGCUAAUACCGGAUAAGCCCGAGAGGGGAAAGAUUUAUCGCCGAAGGAUUGGCCCGCGUCCGAUUAGCUAGUUGGUGAGGUAAUGGCUCACCAAGGCGACGAUCGGUAGCUGGUCCGAGAGGAUGAUCAGCCACACUGGGACUGAGACACGGCCCAGACUCCUACGGGAGGCAGCAGUGGGGAAUAUUGGACAAUGGGGGCAACCCUGAUCCAGCCAUGCCGCGUGAGUGAUGAAGGCCCUAGGGUUGUAAAGCUCUUUCGGCGGGGACGAUAAUGACGGUACCCGCAGAAGAAGCCCCGGCUAACUUCGUGCCAGCAGCCGCGGUAAGAC